CUCUCGGCAAUGGAUAUCUCGGCUCUCGCAUCGAUGAAGAACGUAGCGAAAUGCGAUACCUGGUGUGAAUUGCAGAAUCCCGUGAACCAUCGAGUCUUUGAACGCAAGUUGCGCCCGAGGCCAUCCGGCUAAGGGCACGCCUGCCUGGGCGUCAC
rnacentral:rRNA from 2 species